UAACCUGCAAAAGCGAGAUUGUAGGGA
rnacentral:piRNA from 1 species